rnacentral:rRNA from 1 species
AGAGCGAACGCUGGCGGCAGGCCUAACACAUGCAAGUCGAGCGCCCCGCAAGGGGAGCGGCAGACGGGAGAGUAACACGUGGGAACGUGCCCUUUGGUUCGGAACAACACAGGGAAACUUGUGCUAAAUACCGGAUAAGCCCUUACGGGGAAAGAUUUAUCGCCAAAGGAUCGGCCCGCGUCUGAUUAGCUAGUUGGUGAGGUAACGGCUCACCAAGGCUACGAUCAGUAGCUGGUCUGAGAGGAUGAUCAGCCUCACUGGGACUGAGACACGGCCCAGACUCCUACGGGAGGCAGCAGUGGGGAAUAUUGGACAAUGGGCGCAAGCCUGAUCCAGCCAUGCCGCGUGGGUGAUGAAGGCCCUAGGGUUGUAAAGCACUUUCACCGGAGAAGAUAAUGACGGUAUCCGGAGAAGAAGCCCGGCUAACUUCGUGCCAGCAGCCGC